AGUAACGAAGCUAACGCGUGAAGUUGACCGCCUGGGGAGUACGGUCGCAAGAUUAAAACUCAAAGGAAUUGACGGGGACCCGCACAAGCGGUGGAUGAUGUGGAUUAAUUCGAUGCAACGCGAAAAACCUUACCUACCCUUGACAUGUCCAGGAUCCUGCAGAGAUGCGGGAGUGCCCGAAAGGGAAUUGGAACACAGGUGCUGCAUGGCUGUCGUCAGCUCGUGUCGUGAGAUGUUGGGUUAAGUCCCGCAACGAGCGCAACCCUUAUCAUUAGUUGCUACGCAAGGGCACUCUAAUGAGACUGCCGGUGACAAACCGGAGGAAGGUGGGGAUGACGUCAAGUCCUCAUGGCCCUUAUGGGUAGGGCUUCACACGUCAUACAAUGGUCGGUACAGAGGGUUGCCAAGCCGCGAGGUGGAGCCAAUCCCAGAAAGCCGAUCGUAGUCCGGAUUGUUCUCUGCAACUCGAGAGCAUGAAGUCGGAAUCGCUAGUAAUCGCGGAUCAGCAUGUCGCGGUGAAUACGUUCCCGGGUCUUGUACACACCGCCCGUCACACCAUGGGAGUGGAAUCUGGCAGAAGUAGGUAGCCUAACCGCAAGGGGGGCGCUUACCACGCUGGGUUUCAUGACUGGGGUGAAGUCGUAACAAGGUAGCCG
rnacentral:rRNA from 1 species